rnacentral:rRNA from 1 species
UGGGGAAUAUUGUACAAUGGGGGAAACCCUGAUGCAGCGACGCCGCGUGAACGAAGAAGGCAUUCGUAUCGUAAAGAUCUGUCCUAUGGGAAGAUAAUGACAGUACCAUAGAAGAAAGCUCCGGCUAAAUACGUGCCAGCAGCCGCGGUAAUACGUAUGGAGCGAGCGUUGUCCGGAAUUAUUGGGCGUAAAGGGUACGCAGGCGGUUUAAUAAGUCGAAUGUUAAAGAUCGGGGCUCAACCCCGUAAAGCAUUGGAAACUGAUAAACUUGAGUAGUGGAGAGGAAAGUGGAAUUCCUAGUGUAGUGGUGAAAUGCGUAGAUAUUAGGAGGAAUACCAGUAGCGAAGGCGACUUUCUGGACACAAACUGACGCUGAGGUACGAAAGCGUGGGGAGCAAACAGG